UGGGGUGCUCGAGUGGCGAACGGGUGAGUAACACGUGAGUAACCUGCCCUUGACUUUGGGAUAACUUCAGGAAACUGGGGCUAAUACCGGAUAGGAGCUCCUGCUGCACGGUGGGGGUUGGAAAGUUUCGGCGGUUGGGGAUGGACUCGCGGCUUAUCAGCUUGUUGGUGGGGUAGUGGCUUACCAAGGCUUUGACGGGUAGCCGGCCUGAGAGGGUGACCGGCCACAUUGGGACUGAGAUACGGCCCAG
rnacentral:rRNA from 1 species